rnacentral:rRNA from 1 species
GCACCCGUUCCCUUUCCGAACACGGCCGUGAAACGCCCCUGCGCCCAUGGUACUUCGUCUUAAGACGCGGGAGAGUAGGUCGCUGCCAGGU